CCUUGCUUGGCUCCCGGAGUAAGCCCCUUCCCCUCUCUGGGCCUCGGCUUUCUUGCUGAUGUGAUUGAGGUGCUGGAAGGGGUCAGGGAUUUUUCCGAAACGGUUUAGGCUCCCUUUUUUCCGCGUGAGAGCCAAAUAAAAUGGAUGAAAGGGGCAGGGGGAGCCUCAGAGUCCCACUGGUGAGCCCAGCUGCUCUGCAGCCUCCCCUCCGAGGCCCCGGAGACGCCGUGCAGACACCUGAGGCUCCAAGGAGACCCGCCUGCAAAACAGAAGCAGCAGAAACGAUGCCUGGGAAGAGAAACAUGGGACUGGAAUUCUCACUUUGCCCCUUGUUUGCUGUGUGGUCUUGGGUCAGUCCUCUGACCUCUCUGUCCCAUCUGUAUCAUCUCCGCAGUAAGGAUGGGAAGUAGAAGGUAGACCUGGGUUUCCAGGGCCUGGGCCCCCUUGCUGCCUCGCUCUGUGCCUUGGCAAGCCCCCAGCCCCCUCCUUUCACUGGUCCCCAAAUCCGAUGGCAGACUGGGAGUCCUCAUUCCCGCCUCUCCCGGGUCUGCCUCUCCAGGGGCAUGACGGCUUUACGGAGUCCCCAGAGCACAGGCUGCCCCCUCCUCCCUCCCUGCCCGAUGGAGGAGAGAAAUCUGGAAGGCCCCUGGCAGCCCCCACGGCCCAGAAAUAGCAGGCCAGCUGGUGGGCGGCUGACCUCGGGACUCGGGGCCGGAACUGAGGCUUGUUGCCUGGCAACAGGCACCGUUCACACACCGUGGGUGGCAAGGGGUUCUGGCUGUGGCCCACGUCACCAGCCCAGCCCAGCUCGGCCCCCAGGGUGCGGGACGAGGCCGGCAGCGUGUCCUCGGAGGCUCCGAAGCCAGGCUUCCCCCCUGCAGGGGUAUUUCCGUGUGGUCCUCCCCGCCCCCAGCCUUCUAGCAUCUCCUAGAAGCACCCAGAUUGCGCAAGAAAGAGACAUCUGAGGUUCUCAGCUGCAGUUGCCCUGCACACCCUGACUGGUUUCCUGAAGAAUGAAUGACAAAGCUGACUGCUGCUUCACAGAGGAGAGGCAGAAAAGGAAAAUAGGGCACACGUUUUGUUAAGGCUUUUCAAGUGUCAGUGACUUAG
rnacentral:lncRNA from 1 species